GGCUACCACAUCUAAGGAAGGCAGCAGGCGCGUAAAUUACCCAAUCCUGAUUCAGGGAGGUAGUGACAAGAAAUAGCAAACUGGAUGAAUUUUCAUUACAGUAUUGCAAUGAGAACAAUGUAAAUGCUUUAUCGAUUAACAAUUGGAGGGCAAGUCUGGUGCCAGCAGCCGCGGUAAUUCCAGCUCCAAUAGCGUAUAUUAAAGUUGUUGCAGUUAAAAAGCUCGUAGUUGAAUUUUGUACAUUCCCAGUUCUGGCUUCGGUCAAGCUGUGGAGUGUGCAUCCGCUUGCAAACUUAGACCGGCCUUUACUGGUCGACUAAGGGAGUAAGCCCUUUACUUUGAAAAAAUUAAAGUGUUUCAGGCAGGCUUUGGCUCGAAUACAUUAGCAUGGAAUAAUGGAAUAGGACUUUUGUCCAUUUGGUUGUUAUUGGACUUAAGUAAUGAUUAAAGGACAGUUGGGGGCAUUAGUAUUUAAUUGUCAGAGGGAAAUUCUUGGAUUUAUU
rnacentral:rRNA from 1 species